AGUAUAAUUCAUAAUCCAUUCCCGAAUUGACUUAAUAUAAUCACAGGUAAUAAUCAUUGAAAGGUAACCUAAAGAUAACCUAACUCAAUAUCUGUAUCCCAUAAAUCUAUAGCCUAAGGCUACAGCUGAUUUCAGUGUACGAUAUACCAAAACGUUUGAUAAUCAGUGUAUUUUUAUACUAACACAUGUAUAAGCAUCAACACAAGUAAGUUCUUAACUACAAUUUCUCAAAGGUAAAACUAAAAUUUAAGAACCAAAAUCAAACAAUUUCAUCUGAAACCGUAUAUUUAUAGAUCAGUUCCUAAAAUCAAUGACAGAAGAGGUCCGAACUGGACUACUAUAGUGGACCAAUGCGUAAGAAAACGAAAACCAAAUAUUAGAGUAGUCACUAAACAACAGCUAAUGAAUGUAUUUUCCAAAAUUAUUGAUACAACAACCAUCAACGAAAUUAGUAUUAAAGGUAUUGGGUUAUCGCCUUGUACAAGAAAAAAAAUCCAUUGUUAUAACUUGAUGAAGACUUAAUCUAUGCUACAGAACCGAAGAUGGUCAACGACCAUAUUCGCCACAUAGCGACUCCAGGUAAAAGUACAUCCAUCACAAAAUAUAGCAUGGAUUACGAAAUCCGCUAACGAUCUAGUCCGGAAUUUGAUCAACGAAUUCGAACCCACGUAUUAUGCUUAGAUACACCUAUAUACCCAUAUACAACAAAAUUUACUAA
rnacentral:lncRNA from 1 species